rfam:Elusimicrobia bacterium CG1_02_63_36 cg1_0.2_scaffold_15272_c, whole genome shotgun sequence.
CAGCGGGUGAAAGUCCCGCCGGGGUAAGUGCCGAGACGCCCCGUAGCAGACCCGAGUAGGGAUGCGGAGACGCGCCCUUAGGAGCCGGGUGUCGAAGCUAGCGGACGGGGGGACCGAAGCAAGCCGCGUGCGGCCUCUGUGGAGGAUGCCCCGUCAGGCUGGUGCGAGUGGACGGUCCGUAGCAUUA